GACGAACGCUGGCGGCGUGCUUAACACAUGCAAGUCGAACGGAAAGGCCCUGCUUUUGUGGGGUUCUCGAUUGGCGAACGGGUGAGUAACACGUGAGUAACCUGCCCUUGACUUUGGGAUAACUUCAGGAAACUGGGGCUAAUACCGGAUAGGAUCUCCUGCUGCAUGGUGGUGGUUGGUAAGUUUCGGCUGUGUGGGAUGGACUCGCGGCUUAUCAGCUGGUUUGUGGGGUAGGUGCUUACCAAGGCUUUGAGGGGUAGCCCGCCUGAGAGGGUGACCGGCCACCUUGGGACUGCGAUACGGAGCAGACUCCUAUGGGAGGCAGCAGUGGGAAGUAUUGCACAAUGGGCGGACGCCUGAUGCAGCGACGCCGCGUGCGGGAUGACGGCUUUCGGGUUAUAAACCGAUUUCGCAUGAGCCGAAGAGUUAUUGACGGUACUGGGUAAAGAAGCCCCGGCUAACUACGUG
rnacentral:rRNA from 1 species